UACGGAGGGGGCUAGCGUUGUUCGGAAUUACUGGGCGUAAAGGGCGCGUAGGCGGCCUUCUAAGUCGAACGUGAAAUCCCCAGGCUCAACCUGGGAACUGCGUCCGAUACUGGAUGGCUUGAAUCCGGGAGAGGGAUGCAGAAUUCCAGGUGUAGCGGUGAAAUGCGUAGAUAUCUGGAGGAAUACCGGUGGCGAAGGCGGCAUCCUGGACCGGCAUUGACGCUGAGGAGCGAAAGCCAGGGGAGCAACGGG
rnacentral:rRNA from 1 species